AGCGUAUAGAGGAUCUCAGAUAACAGGGUCCGGAGGGGCGGGCUGACCCUUCGGGGGAGUUAAGGGCGUCUAGCGGCGGACGGGUGAGUAAUGCCUAGGAAGUUGCCCAGUAGAGGGGGAUAACCAUUGGAAACGAUGGCUAAUACCGCAUAACCUCUUCGGAGCAAAGCAGGGGACCUUCGGGCCUUGCGCUAUUGGAUACGCCUAGGUGGGAUUAGCUAGUUGGUGAGGUAAGGGCUCACCAAGGCGACGAUCCCUAGCUGGUCUGAGAGGAUGAUCAGCCACACUGGAACUGAGACACGGUCCAGACUCCUACGGGAGGCAGCAGUGGGGAAUAUUGCACAAUGGGCGAAAGCCUGAUGCAGCCAUGCCGCGUGUGUGAAGAAGGCCUUCGGGUUGUAAAGCACUUUCAGCAGUGAGGAAGAUGGUAAGAUUAAUACUCUUAUCAUUUGACGUUAGCUGCAGAAGAAGCACCGGCUAACUCCGUGCCAGCAGCCGCGGUAAUACGGAGGGUGCGAGCGUUAAUCGGAAUUACUGGGCGUAAAGCGCAUGCAGGUGGUGAGUUAAGUCAGAUGUGAAAGCCCGGGGCUCAACCUCGGAAUUGCAUUUGAAACUGGCUCACUAGAGUACUGUAGAGGGGGGUAGAAUUUCACGUGUAGCGGUGAAAUGCGUAGAGAUCUGAAGGAAUACCAGUGGCGAAAGGCGGCCCCCUGGACAGAUACUGACACUCAGAUGCGAAAGCGUGGGGAGCAAACAAGAUUAAAUACCCUGGUAGUCCACCCCCGUAAACGAUGUCUACUUGGAGGUUGUGGCCUUCACCCCUGGCUUUCGGAGCAAAACGUUACCUAACCGCCUGGGGGAGUGCGGUCCCCAGAAUAAAAACUCAAAUAAGUUGAGGCCGGCGGGCCACAAGCAGUGAAAUCAUAUCGUUUAAUGUGGUGGCGCUCUUCACCCACCAUAUCUACAUGUCGAGCGUCCACACCACCUUGUAAAACAGGGAGUGUGCGAUGAGGAAACUCCGGGGUCCUUUACCGGCCGGCAAUCGUCAGGAUGAGAGUAUGUGAUAGUUAUGCUACCGUCCCGGA
rnacentral:rRNA from 1 species